UCCUGAUGGCUCACAUGAAGUUUCGUGCCGUUCCGACCUCGUUUGAUACGGUUAUGGUUAACCACACGGCCCCUCGGGCCCGACCCGAGCCCAGUCAACGUUUUGACCCGAUCAAAUCGGCCCGUGACCCGAAACGACCCUACUUGGGCCCUACAACAGCCACGUAAAGUUUCGGGAUGAUCCGACGUUCUUUCAUGGGGUUACGGACAAUCCACGCCAAACAAGCGUCACGGGCCGACCGAGCCGGGCCAACGGGCCCUCGGGACCCGAAAACUGAAUUUUUUUUCAUCCAAACCCAUUAAAACACGUUACCGAGGUCUCACGCAAAAUUUCAUGCCAAUCCGACGUCGUUUGAUGGGGUUUUGAGAUAUUAUGAUUCCUCAAAAAUUUAAUGUCUGUUCCUGUCACUUAGCUUUUUGUGCAAAAUGUAUAUAUAGGGGAGGGGUGGGUGUUGAGCAGCCCAUGCCCGGGCAAGGCAUGCUAGCGCCCAAGCCAAAGGAGGCUGGUGGCGUGCGUAUAACAGCUCAAAUGCCCCAACGAUGACCGAGAACAAGCGCCCAUCUCCCCUCCUUCCCCCCCACCAAGCGCCCCUCCCCCCCCCAUGUUGCCUGCCCACUCGCACAGCUACUCGUGAUUUCAUGCCCAGCGACUAGUGAAUGUGCCUCGACGACCAGCAAACCUCGAAAAUUAUGAUUCCUCGUAAAAUUAAUGUCUGUUCCUGUCACUUUACUUUUUGUGCAAAAUGUAUAUAUAGGGGAGACCAGGGGCUUGAGCAACCCCUGUGCCCAAGCAAGGGUCAGAUGGAAGCACACGAGACGCGAGGUUUAAAGCCUAUACAAGCAAGGCGUCUGUCUCCCCAAGCCCCAUUGCCUAUAAAACAAGCCCGAUGCCUUGUAAAUGCCCCACACGAUGCCUAUAAACGACAACGAUGUUUGCUAGUUAAUCGAUCGACGCCCCACACCUUGCAGCAUGUUGCCUAGUAAACAAGCCAUGCUGCCUUGGAAGCGCCCCACAUCAUGGCAUGUUGCCUAGCACGCUGCCCUUGUUUCCAGCACGGCGACCUGAAAGCGUGGCCUGACGACGUGCUUGCCUUCGAAAAUUAUGAUUCCUCAAAAAAUUAAUGUCUGUUCCUGUCACUUUACUUUUUGU
rnacentral:rRNA from 1 species